UGGCGGCAGGCCUAACACAUGCAAGUCGAGCGGUAACAUUUCUAGCUUGCUAGAAGAUGACGAGCGGCGGACGGGUGCGUAACGCGUAGAAAUCUACCUAGUAGUGGGGGAUAGCCCAGAGAAAUUUGGAUUAAUACCGCAUACGCCCUACGGGGGAAAGCGGGGGAUCUUCGGACCUCGUGCUAUUAGAUGAGUCUGCGUCGGAUUAGCUUGUUGGUGAGGUAAUGGCUCACCAAGGCGACGAUCCGUAGCUGGUCUGAGAGGAUGACCAGCCACACUGGAACUGAGACACGGUCCAGACUCCUACGGGAGGCAGCAGUGGGGAAUAUUGCACAAUGGGCGCAAGCCUGAUGCAGCCAUGCCGCGUGUGUGAAGAAGGCCUUAGGGUUGUAAAGCACUUUCAGCAGUGUGGAAAGGGGUGUCGUUAAUAGCGCCAUCCUGUGACGUUAACUGCAGAAGAAGGACCGGCCAACUCCGUG
rnacentral:rRNA from 1 species